CGGGCGGUGUGUGCGCAUUUUAGAGCUUGUUUCAUAUAUUAUUUCUUUAUUAGUAUUACUGUCGAAUCCUUUUUCCUUUAACUUUUCAGGUUAAUAUCCUCAGUUAAGAAGUAAAGUAGCUCAUCUGUUCCCAAUCUAUUGGCUGCACCUUGAUCUGACGUGGUGGUAUUAUCCUUUAAGCUCACUUUCUUUGGAGGUGAGCUGGCGACGAUGGUAUACAAACUGUGAGUCUAAGAAUUGGUAAGGUUACUUGUGGGUUAUCUAUUCAACGACAAGCUCCUCCGAAAAGAUCUAAAAAACCGCCAAGUUCUUUAAGUUUCAACUUUUGGUUGUACUGCUCUGGUGUUUAAGAAUUACUGAAAAGUAUAGUGGGGUA
rnacentral:rRNA from 1 species